ensembl:lincRNA
AUGCCAGCCUGGAACUCUUUGCUGCAGCCAACCAGACUCUCCACAUGGCCACUGGAUGCCAAUUUCACUGUACUGCAGCUGGACCUCAGUUACUUCUGCAGGAUGAAGAUGCUCCCUGCUGGACACUGCCUGUUGUUUGUUGCUGCCCCUGCUUCUGAACUCUUAUGGUGCGACCACCAUUGUGCAGCACUCAAACUUCUUAACUCCAGAUGUACUCCAACAAUGCCCACCAAGACCCCAAUGUCAUUGUACUUUACAUCACACCUGCUUUCCAACCCCUAUACUGAGGCUGGACCCCUGAUGCAGCUCCAUUUUGCUCCUGUGCCUGCUAGACUCUGGAGCUCCACCCUGCUACCACCAGACUUUAACAUGGAUACUAGACAGUGACACUCAGUACUGGGGCCAACUUCAUUGCAACUGUCAGAGUUUGGUCCAUUAUGUUUUUGCCAAGAAGACCCUCUCCAUUAAGUAAAAGUGCCAGGCAAAAAAACAAGUGCUGAUGUAGAAGCUCAUGCAAGUUAUCUAGAAGGUCUUGCUAAGCUAUUCAUAGAAGAUGUGUUGUGCUUGGAGGUAUUGGUGUCUGAAGUUCAGUUAUGGCAGUGGUGGCAAAGGCAACUGAGGAGUCUGUAGGUGGCAACGUCAAGCCAGGCAUCCAGAGAGUUGCAUUCUCAUCCUCUGGCAGUGGCAGGAGUCUGGGCCCAGUGCAGUGAUGGUGGCUGCGACAUCACUGGUGGCCCUGUGGGGACUCCAGUGGCUUUAGUGUGGAGCUCUGUUAGCGGUGAUGGUGACAGUUGGGACAGCAGGCCUCAGAGUCAGAGGGUGACUGGAGGCUGUGAUGGCCUCUGCAGUGGCUCCUCCAGGAAACUGGUAUUUCUCCUUGUAGGGCCUGCCUGCCCACAAAGCAGGGCGCAGGAGCCGGUUGUACCCAGUCACCUUCUGAGGACCUUAUGCUGCCCAUUGCAGCAAUGCCUGGCAUUGCCCUUGAGUCCACCAGGCUGCUUACCGAAUCUUUGAGUUCACGCUGCCGCUCCCUGAGUUGCAGCCUCUGAGGGAUGAGUAGGCCUGCUGCCAGCUGGCGCAGCCUUUGGAGAAGGCAUCCACCCUCCCCAUCUUUAUCUCCCCUGCACUGUGGUAGCAGAGUGCAGAGAUGGGAGGUGGGGGGGCCUAGAAAAUCCUCACCCUCCAAGUGCAUCCCUGGGGUGGGACAAGGGUGGAGUGCACAGGUGGCACUGGGAGUCUGAGAGCAACGAGUUCUCUGUCUUGGUCUUCUGCCACCCCCAGCCAGAGAAAUGCACUUUGCUGGUGAAGAUGUCCUAGGACCUCUGCUUUCUGCACCCACAGUCCACACAGGAAGUGGCUGGGUAUGGUGAGGUUCUCUUCCAAGACUGCCUCAACCUAGCAGACAACCUAGUUCCUCAGUAGAGAGGCUAUAUCAGGCGAUGGGGUGAGCAGCCACACAGUGGUCUCAUGGACAGAGGGAAACAUGGCAGCUGUGGGAAGCAUAAGGUCCUGGACAUCUGCCUGGGUACCACCGCCUCCUCCAUUCUUCUUCCUGAGCAGGCCAGUCAACCAGGCACAAGACCAGGUCCUGGAGCCUCCACCACAGAGGACAUCCCAUCUACUGGUUACCUUAUCACUCUGUCACCCCCUAUCCCAUUCCCUUGCUGUCACAGCAGCCUGGAGUUUCUUCAAAGCAGCCAACCAGACACCCCACAUUGCCACUGGAUGCCAAGAAAAUUUACAACAAUUGGAAGAAUAAGGAGCCAGAUGGGCUGACCCUAGUCAGAGCUGAACUGGAGAUGCUGACUUAGAACCUGAUGAAAAAGUUGGCCUAUCUAAAGUAGAAUCCAUCAUGAGGAGGCCAAAAUUUGAUUUUUUUUCCUUCCAGACCUCAAAAUUAAAACAUCAUGUUUGCAAAUCUGGAGUUAAAACACGACCUGUUUAAGUAGCCAUUUGUUUUGGAUGUGCCUGUGCAUGUACAUUGCUGCUACUGCUGUUUAUAAUGGUUCUUACUAAGGUUUAAUUAAUCAGAGACACAUUCUGAUUUUGUCAUUUUCAUUAUAGAUAAUAAAUUAGAAAGAAUCUAUU